AGUGUAGGCGGCUCGUAAGUCGGAUGUGAAAGCCCUGGGCUUAACCUGGGAAUUGCAUUCGAUACUGCGCGGCUAGAGUCUGAUAGAGGGAAGUGGAAUUCCAGGUGUAGCGGUGAAAUGCGUAGAGAUCUGGAGGAACACCAGUGGCGAAGGCGGCUUCCUGGAUCAAGACUGACGCUGAGGCUCGAAAGCGUGGGGAGCAAACA
rnacentral:rRNA from 1 species